rnacentral:rRNA from 1 species
AUGAACGCUAGCUACAGGCUUAACACAUGCAAGUCGAGGGGAAACGAUAUUGGAAGCUUGCUUCCGAUAGGCGUCGACCGGCGCACGGGUGAGUAACGCGUAUCCAACUUGCCCAUCACUUGGGGAUAACCUUGCGAAAGUAAGACUAAUACCCAAUGAUAUCUCUAGAAGACAUCUGAAAGGGAUUAAAGAUUUAUCGGUGAUGGAUGGGGAUGCGUCUGAUUAGCUUGUUGGCGGGGUAACGGCCCACCAAGGCGACGAUCAGUAGGGGUUCUGAGAGGAAGGUCCCCCACAUUGGAACUGAGACACGGUCCAAACUCCUACGGGAGGCAGCAGUGAGGAAUAUUGGUCAAUGGGCGAGAGCCUGAACCAGCCAAGUAGCGUGCAGGAAGACGGCCCUAUGGGUUGUAAACUGCUUUUAUAAGGGAAUAAAGUGAGUCUCGUGAGACUUUUUGCAUGUACCUUAUGAAUAAGGACCGGCUAAUUCCGUGCCAGCAGCCGCGGUAAUACGGAAGGUCCGGGCGUUAUCCGGAUUUAUUGGGUUUAAAGGGAGCGUAGGCCGGAGAUUAAGCGUGUUGUGAAAUGUAGAUGCUCAACAUCUGAACUGCAGCGCGAACUGGUUUCCUUGAGUACGCACAAAGUGGGCGGAAUUCGUGGUGUAGCGGUGAAAUGCUUAGAUAUCACGAAGAACUCCGAUUGCGAAGGCAGCUCACUGGAGCGCAACUGACGCUGAAGCUCGAAAGUGCGGGUAUCGAACAGGAUUAGAUACCCUGGUAGUCCGCACGGUAAACGAUGGAUGCCCGCUGUUGGUCUGAAUAGGUCAGCGGCCAAGCGAAAGCAUUAAGCAUCCCACCUGGGGAGUACGCCGGCAACGGUGAAACUCAAAGGAAUUGACGGGGGCCCGCACAAGCGGUGGAGCAUGUGGUUUAAUUCGAAGCAACGCGAAGAACCUUACCAGGUCUUGACAUCGAUCUAAAGGCUCCAGAGAUGGAGAGAUAGCUAUAGAGAAGACAGGUGGUGCAUGGUUGUCGUCAGCUCGUGCCGUGAGGUGUCGGCUUAAGUGCCAUAACGAGCGCAACCCCUCUCCUUAGUUGCCAUCAGGUCAAGCUGGGCACUCUGGGGACACUGCCACCGUAAGGUGUGAGGAAGGUGGGGAUGACGUCAAAUCAGCACGGCCCUUACGUCCGGGGCUACACACGUGUUACAAUGGCAGGUACAGAGAGACGGUCCUUUGCAAAACGGAUCAAAUCCUUAAAGCCUGUCUCAGUUCGGACUGGGGUCUGCAACCCGACCCCACGAAGCUGGAUUCGCUAGUAAUCGCGCAUCAGCCAUGGCGCGGUGAAUACGUUCCCGGGCCUUGUACACACCGCCCGUCACACCAUGGGAGUUGGAUAUGCCCGAAGUCAGUGACCCAACCGUAAGGAGGGAGCUGCCGAAGGUGGAGCCGAUAACUGGGGUG